CAGCACCUCAAGUGGUCAGGAUGAUUAUUGGGCCUAAAGCAUCCGUAGCCGGCGCUGUAAGUUUUCGGUUAAAUCUGUACGCUCAACGUACAGGCUGCCGGGAAUACUGCAGCGCUAGGGAGUGGGAGAGGUAGACGGUACUCGGUAGGAAGGGGUAAAAUCCUUUGAUCUAUUGAUGACCACCUGUAGCGAAGGCGGUCUACCAGAACACGUCCGACGGUGAGGGAUGAAAGCUGGGGGAGCAAACCGGAUUAGAUACCCGCGUAGUCC
rnacentral:rRNA from 1 species